UGACUUUUAAUUGGUCCAGUGGCUUUUCAG
rnacentral:piRNA from 1 species